GCACUCAUUUCAGCAGCACAUAUACUAAAACUGGAAUGAUACAGAGAUUAGCAUGCCCCCUGCACAAGGAUGACAUGCAAAUUUGUGGAGUGCCCGUAUUUUUU
ensembl:snRNA U6 U6 spliceosomal RNA